ensembl:snoRNA SNORA63 Small nucleolar RNA SNORA63
AAGCAGGAUCUAAUUACAACGUAGCUGAGAAGUGCUGCAUUGUCUUUGCCCCCUGCUCAAAAUAAGACUGUUUCCUUUCAAGUCCUGUCUGCUGUAGCACCCAGGGAUGCAUGGUUUCAUACAC